rnacentral:rRNA from 1 species
UACGUAGGGGGCAAGCGUUGUCCGGAAUCAUUGGGCGUAAAGAGCGCGUAGGCGGCCCUGUAAGUCCGCUGUGAAAGUCAAGGGCUCAACCCCUGAAUGCCGGUGGAUACUGCAGGGCUAGAGUCCGGAAGAGGCGAGUGGAAUUCCUGGUGUAGCGGUGAAAUGCGCAGAUAUCAGGAGGAACACCGAUGGCGAAGGCAGAUCUCUGGGCCGUAACUGACGCUGAGGAGCGAAAGCGUGGGGAGCGAACAGG